GGUCAAGCGAUUAAGGGCGUACAGGGGAUGCCUAGGCACCAGAAGAAGGGGCGCGGAAGGCUGCGAUAAGCUCGGUCGAGCUGCCGAACAAGCAUUGAAGCCGAGAUACCCUAAAAAACCGUGGGAAGUGAAACAUCUCAGUACCACGAGGAAAAGAAAGCAAACGCGACUCCGUUAGUAGAGGCGAUCGAAAGCGGAAAAGCCCAAACCAUUGGACAUGUCCAGUGGGGUUGUGGGGCCAACAUUAGAGUGAUUGGAUGCUAGCCGAACAGUCUGGAAAGUCUGACCAUAGCGAGUGAUAGUCUCGUAGGCGAAAGCGUGAAAAUCGUUCGUUGGUACCCGAGUAAGACCUGACACGUGGAACCGGGUCUGAAUCUGGGGGGUCCAUCCUCCAAGGCUAAGUACUCUCUGGUGACCGAUAGUAAACUAGUAGGGCGACUGAAAGGUGGGAAGAACCCCGUUGAGGGGAGGAUACUGAACCUGAAACUGUACGCUUACAAGCUGUCGGAGCCCGUUAAAGGGUGACGGCGUGCCUUUUGCAUAAUGAUCCGGCGAGUUACGGUAUAUGGCAAGGCUAAGUGGUUCAGCCAUGGAGCCGAAGCGAAAGCGAGUCUGAAUAGGGCGUCUAGUCAUGUGCCGUAAACACGAAGCCCGUGUGAACUACCCAUGGGCAGGUUGAAGCGUGCGUAAAAGCGCGUGGAGGACCGAACUCACUAAUGUUGAAAAAUUAGGGGAUGACCUGUGGGGAGGAGUAAAAGUCUAAUCAAACCGGGGGAUAGCUUGUUCUCUCCGAAAUAACUUUAGGGUUAGCCUC
rnacentral:rRNA from 1 species